GGGGGCGUCCCGGUUUCGACUGGAUUCCUGAGACGCCGGCUGCAUGUGGAGGUUGAUCGGCUGGCCUCCCUAAAAGCCGCUCAAACAUUAAGUGCCUAUUCCAAGAACGAAUACGCCAUGGCUGCGUGAUCAACCGCAACCGAGACUGAUUCCCGACGCCUACUGGGGAUGACGUCUACAGCUUAGUAGGCAGCUCUGCCACCGGGGGCACCGCGGCGCAGAUGUCUUAUAACAGGUCCCUGACCCUCGGAAGGCUGACGCAGAGCUGACCGUCGGUGACUCCUUCAUCUGCGUCUGAACAUGGAGACGCCCGCGUCAACGGUGUUCAGGACAGGGGUUCGACUCCCCUCGCCUCCAU
rnacentral:tmRNA from 1 species